GAUGAACGCUGGCGGCGUGCUUAACACAUGCAAGUCGAACGGAAAGGCCGAAGCUUGCUUCGGUACUCGAGUGGCGAACGGGUGAGUAACACGUGGGUGAUCUGCCCUGUACUUCGGGAUAAGCUUGGGAAACUGGGUCUAAUACCGGAUAUGACGAUCUCUUGGAUGGGGUUGUGGAAAGCUUUUGCGGUAUGGGAUGAGCUCGCGGCCUAUCAGCUUGUUGGUGGGGUAAUGGCCUACCAAGGCGUCGACGGGUAGCCGGCCUGAGAGGGUGUACGGCCACAUUGGGACUGAGAUACGGCCCAGACUCCUACGGGAGGCAGCAGUGGGGAAUAUUGCACAAUGGGCGCAAGCCUGAUGCAGCGACGCUGCGUGGGGGAUGACGGCCUUCGGGUUGUAAACUCCUUUCGCAAUCGACGAAGCCUUUUGGUGACGGUAGGUUGAGAAGAAGCACCGGCUAACUACGUG
rnacentral:rRNA from 1 species